UACGUAGGGUGCAAGCGUUAAUCGGAAUUACUGGGCGUAAAGCGUGCGCAGGCGGUGAUGUAAGACAGAUGUGAAAUCCCCGGGCUCAACCUGGGAAUGGCAUUUGGGACUGCAAGGCUGGAGUGCGGCAGAGGAGACUGGAAUUCCUGGUGUAGCAGUGAAAUGCGUAGAUAUCAGGAGGAAUACCGAUGGCGAAGGCAGGUCUCUGGGCUGACACUGACGCUCAUGCACGAAAGCGUGGGGAGCAAACAGG
rnacentral:rRNA from 1 species